rfam:Kuraishia capsulata CBS 1993 genomic scaffold, Kuraishia_capsulata_scaffold_5
GGUAACCUGGCCGAGUUGGUCUAAGGCGCCAGGUUAAGGUCCUGGUCUCUUCGGAGGCGUGAGUUCGAAUCUCACGGUUAUCA